rnacentral:rRNA from 1 species
GACGAACGCUGGCGGCGUGCUUAACACAUGCAAGUCGAACGGAAAGGCCCUGCUUUUGUGGGGUGCUCGAGUGGCGAACGGGUGAGUAACACGUGAGUAACCUGCCCUUGACUUUGGGAUAACUUCAGGAAACUGGGGCUAAUACCGGAUAGGAGCUCCUGCUGCAUGGUGGGGGUUGGAAAGUUUCGGCGGUUGGGGAUGGACUCGCGGCUUAUCAGCUUGUUGGUGGGGUAGCGGCUUACCAAGGCUUUGACGGGUAGCCGGCCUGAGAGGGUGACCGGCCACAUUGGGACUGAGAUACGGCCCAGACUCCUACGGGAGGCAGCAGUGGGGAAGAGUGCACAAUGGGCGGAAGCCUGAUGCAGCAACGCCGCGUGCGGGAUGACGGCCUUCGGGUUGUAAACCGCUUUCGCCUGUGACGAAGCGUGAGUGACGGUAAUGGGUAAAGAAGCACCGGCUAACUACGUG